CCAGCCUUUGCCUUCUGUUGUCAAGCCAAUUCCGGAUCCACAAAGCCAGGUCUCCUUGGACCCCCUGCCUCGUUACUUUCUGAUUGACCAAUCUCCAAGCAACAGACACAAAAUGCUGGACUCAGCAGUCCAGGCAGCAUCUAUGGAAGUUGACCCUUCGGCAGGACUGAAGAAAAAAAGGAAAACCUUCUUCGUUGCUGCUGCUGCUGUGAGGUCCGGGACUCUGAUGGGAAGAACAGGCCCCCAGUCCUCGGGGUCGCAUUGCUGAUGGCCGUUGGCGGAGCUGUCUUAAUACGUUCGGCAGAGGAUGGUGCUCGGAGAAGCUGUGCCGGAGGGGAUGGUCGUCGGCACGGAGGUUCGAUGGACUUGGAGUCCGCUGUGGUCAGGUCGCUUUCGGUGUGUUCUGUGUCUGUGAGGCUGGGUUCGACGGAGCUUUCACUGUGUGCUGCGUCUGCGAGGCUGAGUCGGGUGGCGCUAUGGAAGUCCAUAGCAGGGGUAUUCCCUUCUGCCGCCUGCGUGGGAUGGCAAGUCUGUCGGGACCCUGGGGACUU